UUAGAUAGCGAUACUCAGGGUGCCGCCUUUUAGGGAGGGCGGAGAAUUGGGAAGCCGGUCGAAAUCCGGCGCUGCCCCCGCAACGGUGGUGGAGCGAAACCUCGGCAAAAGGCCACUGGAGAAAUCCGGGAAGGCGCCGGGAUAGUCCGCAAGGACGGCUCCAAAGCCCGGAAACCAGCCUUGUGGCGAAAUUGAUG
rnacentral:ncRNA from 1 species